AUUACUAUUUCCCUGGACUCCAUGCUUGUGCUCCUUCUGUUUCUUGGGCUUUUGUCUCUAUUAUUUCCGGUGCUGUGGUCUGAAACAAAGUAACUGAGUGUUAAAACUCAUCAUUGGACUAGUAACAUUUAUUUUUAUUUCAAUGCAAGGUGACUUGGUCUAUGUUACUUUGAAACAUCUGUGUCAGCGAACACACCCUGGGCUUGGCUUGAGAAACCCGAAGCAGCAGUAACUUACUUGGCAAAAGGAGAAUUAUGAUCCGAAGAACACAAGGCAAGGAGGGUCACCAGAGGGGAUCACCAAAUGAAGUUGGACGCAUUGAGGUAUAAUACGAACUGGAGACUGCGCCGAAGAUGUCGACUGUUGUUUUCAAGAUUCACAAUCGAGAGCAUCCUGUCGGGCUGUAUCACCGCCUGGUACGGUAACUGCACAGGCCUCAACCGCAAAGCUCUCCAGAGGGUAGUGCGAUCUGCACAAUGCAUAACCGGGGGUAUACCUGCCCUCCAGGACACCUACACCAACCGAUGUCACAGGAAGGCCAUAAAGAUCACCCGAGCCACUGCCUGU